UAAGCGACUAAGCGUACACGGUGGAUGCCCUGGCAGUCAGAGGCGAUGAAGGACGUGCUAAUCUGCGAUAAGCGUCGGUAAGGUGAUAUGAACCGUUAUAACCGGCGAUUUCCGAAUGGGAAACCCAGUGUGAUUCGUCACACUAUCAUUAACUGAAUCCAUAGGUUAAUGAGGCGAACCGGGGGAACUGAAACAUCUAAGUACCCCGAGGAAAAGAAAUCAACCGAGAUUCCCCCAGUAGCGGCGAGCGAACGGGGAGCAGCCCAGAGCCUGAAUCAGUGUGUGUGUUAGUGGAAGCGUCUGGAAAGGCGCGCGAUACAGGGUGACAGCCCCGUACACAAAAAUGCACAUGCUGUGAGCUCGAUGAGUAGGGCGGGACACGUGGUAUCCUGUCUGAAGUAUGGGGGGACCAUCCUCCAAGGCUAAAUACUCCUGACUGACCGAUAGUGAACCAGUACCGUGAGGGAAAGGCGAAAAGAACCCCGGCGAGGGGAGUGAAAAAGAACCUGAAACCGUGUACGUACAAGCAGUGGGAGCACGCUUAGGCGUGUGACUGCGUACCUUUUGUAUAAUGGGUCAGCGACUUAUAUUCUGUAGCAAGGUUAACCGAAUAGGGGAGCCGAAGGGAAACCGAGUCUUAACUGGGCGUUAAGUUGCAGGGUAUAGACCCGAAACCCGGUGAUCUAGCCAUGGGCAGGUUGAAGGUUGGGUAACACUAACUGGAGGACCGAACCGACUAAUGUUGAAAAAUUAGCGGAUGACUUGUGGCUGGGGGUGAAAGGCCAAUCAAACCGGGAGAUAGCUGGUUCUCCCCGAAAGCUAUUUAGGUAGCGCCUCGUGAAUUCAUCUCCGGGGGUAGAGCACUGUUUCGGCAAGGGGGUCAUCCCGACUUACCAACCCGAUGCAAACUGCGAAUACCGGAGAAUGUUAUCACGGGAGACACACGGCGGGUGCUAACGUCCGUCGUGAAGAGGGAAACAACCCAGACCGCCAGCUAAGGUCCCAAAGUCAUGGUUAAGUGGGAAACGAUGUGGGAAGGCCCAGACAGCCAGGAUGUUGGCUUAGAAGCAGCCAUCAUUUAAAGAAAGCGUAAUAGCUCACUGGUCGAGUCGGCCUGCGCGGAAGAUGUAACGGGGCUAAACCAUGCACCGAAGCUGCGGCAGCGACGCUGAUGCGUUGUUGGGUAGGGGAGCGUUCUGUAAGCCUGUGAAGGUGUGCUGUGAGGCAUGCUGGAGGUAUCAGAAGUGCGAAUGCUGACAUAAGUAACGAUAAAGCGGGUGAAAAGCCCGCUCGCCGGAAGACCAAGGGUUCCUGUCCAACGUUAAUCGGGGCAGGGUGAGUCGACCCCUAAGGCGAGGCCGAAAGGCGUAGUCGAUGGGAAACAGGUUAAUAUUCCUGUACUUGGUGUUACUGCGAAGGGGGGACGGAGAAGGCUAUGUUGGCCGGGCGACGGUUGUCCCGGUUUAAGCGUGUAGGCUGGUUUUCCAGGCAAAUCCGGAAAAUCAAGGCUGAGGCGUGAUGACGAGGCACUACGGUGCUGAAGCAACAAAUGCCCUGCUUCCAGGAAAAGCCUCUAAGCAUCAGGUAACAUCAAAUCGUACCCCAAACCGACACAGGUGGUCAGGUAGAGAAUACCAAGGCGCUUGAGAGAACUCGGGUGAAGGAACUAGGCAAAAUGGUGCCGUAACUUCGGGAGAAGGCACGCUGAUAUGUAGGUGAAGUCCCUCGCGGAUGGAGCUGAAAUCAGUCGAAGAUACCAGCUGGCUGCAACUGUUUAUUAAAAACACAGCACUGUGCAAACACGAAAGUGGACGUAUACGGUGUGACGCCUGCCCGGUGCCGGAAGGUUAAUUGAUGGGGUUAGCGCAAGCGAAGCUCUUGAUCGAAGCCCCGGUAAACGGCGGCCGUAACUAUAACGGUCCUAAGGUAGCGAAAUUCCUUGUCGGGUAAGUUCCGACCUGCACGAAUGGCGUAAUGAUGGCCAGGCUGUCUCCACCCGAGACUCAGUGAAAUUGAACUCGCUGUGAAGAUGCAGUGUACCCGCGGCAAGACGGAAAGACCCCGUGAACCUUUACUAUAGCUUGACACUGAACAUUGAGCCUUGAUGUGUAGGAUAGGUGGGAGGCUUGGAAGUGUGGACGCCAGUCUGCAUGGAGCCGACCUUGAAAUACCACCCUUUAAUGUUUGAUGUUCUAACGUUGACCCGUAAUCCGGGUUGCGGACAGUGUCUGGUGGGUAGUUUGACUGGGGCGGUCUCCUCCUAAAGAGUAACGGAGGAGCACGAAGGUUGGCUAAUCCUGGUCGGACAUCAGGAGGUUAGUGCAAUGGCAUAAGCCAGCUUGACUGCGAGCGUGACGGCGCGAGCAGGUGCGAAAGCAGGUCAUAGUGAUCCGGUGGUUCUGAAUGGAAGGGCCAUCGCUCAACGGAUAAAAGGUACUCCGGGGAUAACAGGCUGAUACCGCCCAAGAGUUCAUAUCGACGGCGGUGUUUGGCACCUCGAUGUCGGCUCAUCACAUCCUGGGGCUGAAGUAGGUCCCAAGGGUAUGGCUGUUCGCCAUUUAAAGUGGUACGCGAGCUGGGUUUAGAACGUCGUGAGACAGUUCGGUCCCUAUCUGCCGUGGGCGCUGGAGAACUGAGGGGGGCUGCUCCUAGUACGAGAGGACCGGAGUGGACGCAUCACUGGUGUUCGGGUUGUCAUGCCAAUGGCACUGCCCGGUAGCUAAAUGCGGAAGAGAUAAGUGCUGAAAGCAUCUAAGCACGAAACUUGCCCCGAGAUGAGUUCUCCCUGACUCCUUGAGAGUCCUGAAGGAACGUUGAAGACGACGACGUUGAUAGGCCGGGUGUGUAAGCGCAGCGAUGCGUUGAGCUAACCGGUACUAAUGAACCGUGAGGCUUAACCU
rnacentral:rRNA from 1 species